rnacentral:rRNA from 1 species
GACGAACGCUGGCGGCGUGCCUAAUACAUGCAAGUAGAACGCUGCAGGAGGAGCUUGCUUCUCUGGAUGAGUUGCGAACGGGUGAGUAACGCGUAGGUAACCUGCCUGGUAGCGGGGGAUAACUAUUGGAAACGAUAGCUAAUACCGCAUAAUAGUAGAUGUUGCAUGACAUUUGCUUAAAAGGUGCAAUUGCAUCACUACCAGAUGGACCUGCGUUGUAUUAGCUAGUUGGUGGGGUAACGGCUCACCAGGGCGACGAUACAUAGCCGACCUGAGAGGGUGAUCGGCCACACUGGGACGGAGACACGGCCCAGACUCCUACGGGAGGCAGCAGUAGGGAAUCUUCGGCAAUGGACGGAAGUCUGACCGAGCAACGCCGCGUGAGUGAAGAAGGUUGUCGGAUCGUAAAGCUCUGUUGUAAGAGAAGAACGAGUGUGAGAGUGGAAAGUUCACACUGUGACGGUAUCUUACCAGAAAGGGACGGCUAACUACGUG